AAAAUAUUCACCAUGUGUGGACUCGGUCUCGAUGAACCCUCUGUAACUCUCGCCCUCCGCAGAUUCUUUGGCUUGCGCAGAGACCAUGACAGCAUUGUCAACAUGGAUCCAGUAGAGAUCCAUGUAGGAGUGACUUCCUCCUCAUCUCGUGGAUAGUGGAUCUCCAGGACAGAGUUGAUCUCUGAAGGCUCCAGCGGUCGGGCAGUUGAGCGACCAUCUGGCCAGUACACUUCCACAUUGGUGGCCACAUCCUUACCUGGGCAGACAGACAGCGGCUGUGCUGCACUUUCACCAUGAGACACGAGCAGCUCCAGACGCCCGUCACCAUCAAAGUCUGUGGCUACAGCUCCUGGGGAUUCAUCACAGCAAUGAUGCAGCUAAACACUUGGGGAAACAACCUUCAUAAUGUUUGGCAUCUUCCUGUCUUACCUGAAGAGUCUGUUGGCAGACGGCCCUCUGUAGGCGAUGUUAUUGAAGAACACUUCAAGCUCGUUGUCAUUGUCAAAGUCCGCAGCGAUAACAGUUCGAACCGGGGAUGGCAUGGAAAACUUCUGGGAUGCAAUGUCCUGAGGGAAAAAGUAUAUCAGUGAAACACACACACACACAACCAAUGACAAAAGACAAACACAUGCAGGAAGAUGUAUGAAUCCCAAAACCCACCAGUGGCUUUAAUGGGGAAUGUUAUAUAUAUAUAUAUUUUUUUUAAAGAUUACAUUGCAGUAUUUUUAGCUAAAAACUGCAAAAAUAAAAUGAGAACUGUUGGAUUCUCAACUUUCUGAUAGUCACUGAAAUAAUCAAGUGUAACGUGCGGGUCUGAAAGGAAUACAAUAUAAGAUUAUAUUUCAAUAAAAAUGACUUUAUUCUACAUCAUGUUUAAAUAUUUGCCAGAAAAACACUGUCUGCUUUAGCAAGAUUUUGUAAGAAAGCUAAAAAAAAAAAAUCUGCACAAGUGAAAAGCCACCAACCAAUGAACCAGCAAUCACAUGACAAAAAUUCAGGGAUUAUUUCGCAGAACUGGGUUGAACUGCAGGUUGUGUUCACACAAAGCACACAACAAAUGAGCAUGGAAACAAAUGAAAAACAUACGUAAUUACCAUUACUGGCCACCAUUAUUUUGUCAGUAAUUGUAACAAGUGUGAGCACUUUGAAAAAUGUUGCACAUGUUGAUUCCAUUUCUUUUUUUUUAUUUUUGUAAAAUAAAAAAAUUGAAGAAUGCUAA